rnacentral:rRNA from 1 species
AUACCGGUGGCGAAGGCGGCCCCCUGGACAAAGACUGACGCUCAGGUGCGAAAGCGUGGGGAGCAAACAGGAUUAGAUACCCUGGUAGUCCACGCUGUAAACGAUGUCGAUUUGAAGGUUGUUCCCUUGAGGAGUGGCUUUCGGAGCUAACGCGUUGAAUCGACCGCCUGGGGAGUACGGCCGCAAGGUUAAAACUCAAAUGAAUUGACGGGGGCCCGCACAAGCGGUGGAGCAUGUGGUUUAAUUCGAUGCAACGCGAAGAACCUUACCUACUCUUGACAUCCAGAGAACUCAGCAGAGAUGCUUUGGUGCCUUCGGGAACUCUGAGACAGGUGCUGCAUGGCUGUCGUCAGCUCGUGUUGUGAAAUGUUGGGUUAAGUCCCGCAACGAGCGCAACCCUCGUUGUUAGUUGCCACCCAGCCGCAAGGUUGGAGCACUCUGACAAGACUGCCCCGGUUAACGGGGAGGAAGGUGGGGACGACGUCAAAUCAUCAUGGCCCUUACGGCCAGGGCUACACACGUGUUACAAUGGGCGCCACAACGGGAUGCAACUGCGCAAGUAGUAGCCAACCCCUUAAAAGCGAUCUCAGUUCAGAUCGUAGGCUGCAACUCGCCUACGUGAAGUCGGAAUCGCUAGUAAAUGCAGAUCAGCACGCUGCAUUGAAUACGUUCCCGGGUCUUGUACACACCGCCCGUCACACCAUGGAAGUUGGUGACGCCCAAAGUCGAUAUCUAACCGCAAGGGGGAAAUGCUAAGGCAGCGC